AGCAGCCGCGGUAAUUCCAGCUCCAAUAGCGUAUAUUAAAGUUGUUGCAGUUAAAAAGCUCGUAGUUGAAUUUCGGGAUUGACACAUCGGUCGUGCCUUAAGGGGUAUGAACUGGUGUAGUCAAUUUCUCACCUUCUGGAGAACCGCGAUGUCCUUAAUUGGGUGCCGCGAGGAACCAGGACCUUUACUUUGAAAAAAUUAGAGUGUUUAAAGCAGGCAUUUUUGCUUGAAUACAUUAGCAUGGAAUAAUAAAAUAGGACGGCAUGAUUCUAUUUUGUUGGUUUCUAGGAUCACCGUAAUGAUUAAUAGGGAUAGUUGGGGGCAUUAGUAUUCAAUUGUCAGAGGUGAAAUUCUUGGAUUUAUUGAAGACUAACUACUGCGAAAGCAUUUGCCAAGGAUGUUUUCAUUAAUCAAGAACGAAAGUUAGGGGAUCGAAGACGAUCAGAUACCGUCGUAGUCUUAACCAUAAACUAUGCCGACUGGGGAAUCAGACGAUGUUAAUUUUUUAAUGACUCGUUUG
rnacentral:rRNA from 1 species